ACUGCUCAGUAACACGUGGACAACCUGCCCUUAGGUUGGGUAUAAACCCGGGAAACUGGGUAUAAUACCCGAUAGGUCUCGAUUGCUGGAAUGCAUCGAGAUUUAAAGCUCCGGCGCCUAAGGAUGGGUCUGCGGCCUAUCAGGUAGUAGUGGGUGUAGCGUACCUACUAGCCUACGACGGGUACGGGUUGUGAGAGCAAGAGCCCGGAGAUGGAUUCUGAGACACGAAUCCAGGCCCUACGGGGUGCAGCAGGCGCGAAAACUUUACAAUGCUGGCAACAGCGAUAAGGGAACCUCGAGUGCCAGGUUACAAAUCUGGCUGUCGAGAUGCCUAAAAAGCAUUUCAUAGCAAGGGCCGGGCAAGACCGGUGCCAGCCGCCGCGGUAACACCGGCGGCUCGAGUGGUAACCGUUAUUAUUGGGUCUAAAGGGUCUGUAGCCGGCCGGAUAAGCCUCUUGAGAAAUCUGGCAGCUUAACUGUCAGGCUUUCAGGAGAUACUGUCUGGCUCGAGGCCGGGAGAGGUGAGAGGUACUUCAGGGGUAGGGGUGAAAUCUUGUAAUCCUUGAAGGACCACCAGUGGCGAAGGCGUCUCACCAGAACGGACCUGACGGCAAGGGACGAAAGCUAGGGGCACGAACCGGAUUAGAUACCCGGGUAGUCCUAGCCGUAAACGAUACUCGCUAGGUGUCGGCCACGGUGCGACCGUUGUCGGUGCCGUAGGGAAGCCGUGAAGCGAGCCACCUGGGAAGUACGGCCGCAAGGCUGAAACUUAAAGGAAUUGGCGGGGGAGCAC
rnacentral:rRNA from 1 species